UGGGUGACCUGCCCUUCACUCUGGGAUAAGCCUGGGAAACUGGGUCUAAUACCGGAUAUGACUCGCGAUCGCAUGGUUGUGGGUGGAAAGUUGUGUCUCUUUGGGGAUGCUGUGGUGGGGGAUGGGCCCGCGGCCUAUCAGCUUGUUGGUGGGGUGAUGGCCUACCAAGGCGACGACGGGUAGCCGGCCUGAGAGGGCGACCGGCCACACUGGGACUGAGACACGGCCCAGAUCCUACGGG
rnacentral:rRNA from 1 species